rfam:Schistosoma mansoni strain Puerto Rico chromosome 2, complete genome
AUCCAGCUGACGAGUCCCAAAUAGGAGGAAACGCGCAUCCUGGAU